CAAUAGAUAUAAACAAUUCACCAAAGUUUCAUAGACAUUGGUGAAAGCCUUUUUGAGUUAUUGUCCGAAGUGUUGAAAAUCCCCCUUUUUUAUGAAUAAAGCCCCAUAAAUCCAAAACUUAAAAUCUGACAUUUAUAAAAAUUGAAAGGGAGCUUACAUCAAUAGAUAUAAACAAUUCACCAAAGUUUCAUGGACAUUGGUGAAAGCCUUUUUGAGUUACUGUCCGAAGUGUUGAAAAUCCCCCCUUUUUAUGAAUAAAGCCCCAUAAAUCCAAAACUUAAAAUCUAAAAAAAAAAAAAAAACGAAAGGGAGCUUACGUCAAUAGAUAUAAACAAUUCAUUUAAGUUUCAUGGAAAUUGGUGAAAGUGUUUUUGAGUUAUUGUCCGAAGUGUG
rnacentral:lncRNA from 1 species